AAUCCCUUAAAAAAACUGUGCAAGUCAGCAAUCUCAGCCCACUUCUGACAGUGGAUCAGUUGAAACAGCUGUUUGGUUUCUGUGGUGCAAUCAUUGAUUGUAGCAUUACUGAUUCCAAACAUUUUGCUUACAUCGAAUACUCAAAACCUGAAGAAGCAACUGCUGCUUUAGCAUUGAACAAUAUAGAAGUUGGUGGUCGCCCCUUAAAUGUUGAAAUGGCAAAACAACUUCCUCCAAAGGCAGCUAUCUUAAAUUCGUCAAUGGGUUCUUCUUCUUUGCCCUUGAUGAUGCAGCAAGCCGUAGCAAUGCAGCAGAUGCAGUUCCAGCAAGCUCUAUUAAUGCAGCAAGCUAUGACUGAACAACAAGCUGCUAAUCGAGCUGCAACCAUGAAAACUGCUACAGAUUUGGCUGCCGCAAGAGCUGCAGAAAUAAGCAAGAUGUUGAAAGCAAAUGGAUUGGUUUCUGAAGAUAAGGAAACUGAUGAUAAGGCUAAGUAUGUCACCUGAAGUAUUUUUCUUAUAUGCUUAUAAUAUAUCUUAUGUGUUUGGUAAUUGAUCUAACUGGUAUCAGGAAUACCUUGUUUAAUUAUUAAAGUUGGACUUAUUGCACCUGUAGAACAUAGUCACGCCUUGUUUUUAUGAAUAAGUGUGUNCUUUAAUGUUGUAUUUGUAUCACGCAGGCAGUACGACUGGUGGGCUAUUGGGUAUAGCACCGUCAGCCACAUUUCCAAAUAUGGUCAACCAGAACAUGCCUAAUAUGCCAAAUUAUUCUGGUUCUGUAUCUGGGGCAGUCCCAGGAUUGCUUGGGAUGAUACCAGGUAUUGUUCCUGGAGCUUCUGGAGGUGUAGUUUUACCUGGGAUUGGAGCAUCUAUUGGGGAAGUUUGCCGAGAAUACCUUUACGGACGAUGUGCAAAAACUGAUUGCAAAUUCAAUCAUCCCCCUCACAAUCUUCUAAUGACUGCUCUAGCUGCAACCACCAGUAUGGGAACGCUUAGUCAAGUGCCCAUGGCACCUUCUGCGGCUGCUAUGGCUGCUGCUCAGGCAAUUGUUGCUGCACAAGCUCUUCAAGCACAUGCUGCUCAGGCACAAGCACAGUCUGGAAAAGAUUCCGCUGGUAUUUCUAGCUCUCAUUACUAUCAAUAAAUUCCUCCUAAUUGUUGAUUAUUGCGAGUUAUUCUUAAAAGUUCCUUGCUCCACUAGAACAUUGAUUCUUGAAUUUUUUUUCUGGUACUUCUAUCUCCCAUCAUUGCCCAAUAGUAAUUUAUAUUUUGGUUGUUACUGGGGUCUGUACAUAAACUUUUCUUACUUAGGUUUCUUCAAACUAUUUUGCUGCUAUAGCUUAAAGAGACCAGAUAGGCUCUUACAACUCUCUUUGUUUCUUCCCCAAUCUACUCAUCAUAAAAGAUGAUUUGUAGAAUUAAAAAUGCAUAUAGACAUUUCUGCUAGGUAUUCAUGAGAGUGUACCUCAUUCUACUUGUUCCCUUUAUGUAUCAGGUGACAAAGAUGGAAAGGCCGAAUCCCUUAAAAAAACUGUGCAAGUCAGCAAUCUCAGCCCACUUCUGACAGUGGAUCAGUUGAAACAGCUGUUUGGUUUCUGUGGUGCAAUCAUUGAUUGUAGCAUUACUGAUUCCAAACAUUUUGCUUACAUCGAAUACUCAAAACCUGAAGAAGCAACUGCUGCUUUAGCAUUGAACAAUAUAGAAGUUGGUGGUCGCCCCUUAAAUGUUGAAAUGGCAAAACAACUUCCUCCAAAGGCAGCUAUCUUAAAUUCGUCAAUGGG
rnacentral:lncRNA from 1 species